UUCUUGCCAUUUUAAUUUGAUCGCAACUCUUGAUUUUUCGAUUUCGGAAUCUAAUUUCAGAAAAAAAAAAUACGCUCCAAAAAAACCUAAAUCGUGUUAUUUCAAUUAGAAUUUCUUUCUUAUUGAUAAUCAGAUCUUGGAUCUGCAACAAUCUAAUCAUUAUCAUCGUUUUGAAUUAAAAACUUCGAAUUCAACUAAUUUUUCGCAAUUUUUCCCAUUUAAUCUUUCCAAUUCUUAUUCUCGAUUGAAAAUCAAAUUUAAGAUUUGUAAUCAGCAUGUAUUAAUCUUCAUUACCCAUCAAAAAAGAAGAAUUGUCGACCCAAUUAGAAAAAUUUGGUAUAACUCAAGUGAAAUUAUGAUUAUUAAUGAUGAAUUGUUGACUUGAACUGAUACAUUGUUGGUUACAUAGAAGCUACUCACCAUUUCUCCGAGACCUGAUAAACCUUUGACUUUUAUCAUUGCUGGUGCAAGUAACUAUUUCAUUCGUUACUCUUCAUGUGUUUGUUUGUUACGUUUAAUCUACUCUUAUUGUUUUUCCAAUAUGUUUAUACUUGUGUGUUGUCUUUUACAUUUGUUUCAAGGAAAUUUUAUGGGUAGUGUAUAGGCUGAACAUUUUAGACUACUUGUAUUCAUUAAUGGAACAUUGUUUAGGUGGUUGCUCCGUGUUGGAUGGAUAACGAUGGACCUUGUUUGUUUCGCUGCUACUUACAGCUUCCAGAUAUAACUGUUACUUCAGAGGUCUGCAAAAGAAUAACAGAUGCUGAGCGCAGCAAAGAUUGCUAUUGAGAAGGAAUGUGAAUGAUAAGGAUCUGGGCAAUCUUAAGAAACAAUGAAAUGCUUACAUGGCCUUAAAAGAUACGAUUUGCUAUUGGACUCUUGCCAGCAAUGGUUAGUGGUCAGGCUUAUGUGGAGGCUCAAGAUGGCUUCACGGUUAAAGAGUUGACGAGGAAACAUGUACAUAAUCUAAAUUCGUUUCGUCGGUUACUAUUCUUAGGGCUUUAGAUUGUCAACUAUUGCUGCUUUAUGGUUGCAAUUAUUUGCAAAAUACCGGUGAACCAGUAUUCAGGAAACACACAGCCAUUUUCUGGGGUAGUAAGAGAACACAUCUUCAACCGAUUCCUUCAGGCCAUACACGUGGAGGUCGCAUUUUGCCACAAGUGAAAGGUUACUGCUGGAAGCCAGUAUAGCGAUCCGCUAUAAAGGAAGAAAUUCUGGAGCUACAGAAUGACGUUGUAGCUUAACUAUGAGAUUGGCAAGAGCGAGCAUUAGAAUUUUGGGAAAAUAUUCAGAGCAAACUCAUGUCAUACUUGUUUUAUCAAGUUUGUUCCCGCCAAUGUAUGAAGGAUGUAAUCUUUACGUGAGGAACCCUGUGAACUACUUGAAGUUAAUCUAAUUUAACAACGCUUGAUUCAAAGGAUGAUCACGUGGAACGCGGAUAUCGAGGUAGACGUGGCUUUUCAUCAAAAGAGUUUCAGAUAACGGGUUUGAUAACGUUCGCGAAGAUGAUCAAGAUCGGUUGAUUCUGUUUUAAUUUUUUUUAUGUAUAUUUAUAGUUUGAAAACCAUUACACUAUUGUAUAUGUAUCACUGGAGAGGAGUUUUGUAUCUAUAUAUUUCGGAGAGGGUUUUAGAUUUGGGUUAAUUUUUAUUUUAGAAUUUAUUUCUAUUACUUAAAUAGACGUUUUAGAUCC